rnacentral:misc_RNA from 1 species
GGAAACCUGUCUGGUUCAAAGGGGGGGAAAUGGUUCUGUUCACUUUGGACCCAUGAAGCUUUGGUCUAGAGUUAGAAGUAGAACAUACCAGUUCCCGGCCCAAAUUGAACCGUGGCCAGGUUGUUUGUUUUGUUUUUUUCUCAAAGAUGUGGCCAGGUCUGGUUGAUCCUAUCUACAGAACAUAUUUGCAUCUUCUAAUCAACAAUUGCAAAUUGCUAGAAGAAAAAAAAUAUACAUCAAGAGAUAAAUUCAUGUUUGAUAUAUUAAUACAGAUCCAACGACUCGAGCACCCUGCGAGCUUGGAUAUGUAGGGCGGUCAGUCUCUGCUCUGGGUCAGGGGUUGAGCCAAAUUGACUGGCUGGCCAUAUCAAGGAAUCCGAUUUCUCACCAAGAAGUCGCCUUAUGUCUUCAUGUAUGGUAACCAUUGGAGGCAUUUCUCUCCCAUUAACAUGGCCUAUGAGUAGCAGCAAGAACUCCCCACAUUUUAACCUAAUUAGAGAUAAAAUCAUGCUGCCUUAGCAGUUAUUUCGGACUUGCAAGAUAUAGCUCAACUUUAGAUUAGGACUACAAUGCACACUUGCUAACUCACCUCCAUUUCAAAACCGACGACAAGUCCAAAACAGGAAAAGCAACCCAAACCAACAUUAGCAACUAAAAUUAAUCCUCAAAAAGCAGCAUACACCAGUGAUGAACUACCAGGAAACAACCCAAAGGGAAAAAGGAAAAAAAGAAACCAAAAAACAAAACAAAAAAAUACCUCUCACCUCUUAGGUGUUCUAGAACCUAUCCUUUUUUCUUCUCUAUUCUUAAUUAAAUUUCAUAGGAGUGUUCUCUUCUAUUAUUAUUUUUGAAGAUUCUUAGAUGCCUUAUCUCUUACAUCUUGCUUAAAAAUAUAUAUUGGGUGCAAAAAUUGAGUUGAGAAACAUGAAUUCAUAUGAAUGUGGAGAAAUACAAUUUGGGUUAUCUUUUUUAACAUGGCUAUCAUGAAGGAUAUCUUGUAGAUUAAUUCACUUAGGUCAUAGGCAAAGAUAGGAUUUUGGUCUCAUAUAUUCAAACAAAUUAUGAGAGAGAGUGAGCAAGAAAGUGAGAGACAUAAUCCCAUAAAUUAAUAAAAGUACCAAGAGUUUGCUAAGGGGAAGUAAAGUGUUCUAACAGCAACUAACCAAGGGUAGUUUAGUCAACAUAUGUUUAAAUUUAUUAUUAAGCUGUGGCAAUAGUGCCCUAAUUAAUAGUGUCAUUUGAUAAACAUUUGGAGGUCUCCUCUACAUUUGUCCAAAGAAGACAUUUUCAAUGGAAUUUAAUAAUGAUACAAGACCUGGAGCUUUUAGGUAAAGGUCUUACAAUUAGUGGCUUUGUUGCAAACCCCAUAAUCUGAUGAUGAUGAAAGAAAAGAUAGUUUUAAGGCUGUUAAUUGAUAAUAGAACAUUUGAGGGUUUUUGGGAAUCAAUGUUGUGUUUAAUGGUGGUAGCCAACUAAGACAGUUUAUUGGGUAUAAUGCAUGGUUUCUCUUUUACCUCAGUGGCAUUCAUGAUAUUACAAAUAAUAAUCAUCAUGUCAAAUAGUAAAAUAAAUAAAGGAAAGGCGAGUUGAGCUGAAGAACAAUAAUGAAUACCUAAGAUUUUCAUCCACCUUCUUGUCCCUAAUGAGCAUUAUCACCUCCUAAAUACCAUUGCAAACCUCAAAAUCCUGAAUACACGUUAACAGAGUAAACAGAGAUGAUAUGUAGAUAAAACAAUUUUUUUAAUCAAUUAAAGAUCAUCAUUCACUUUUGCUACAAAAGUUGCACACCACUAGGGUGCUUAAGUUUCCAAGGUCAAAAAAUAUUAUCAGCCAACAUAACUCCUUCUAGCUUCUGUAUGGAUUUAUGAUGAACUGAAGUAUACAAUAGUAAGGUUUCAUUGUACAUUACUCAGAGAGGCUACAAUUGGUCCAUAUGCUUCUCAAGGAAAACCAAGCACUGUAACACCCCUAGUUGUAUAGCCUGGUAUAUUUCACUAUUCUGGUGACCGGUGUCGGUCCGAACAAUUAAGGAGAUUAGAACCAUACUUAAGAUAAUUAGAUAAACCAUAAACACAAAUAA